GGGGGGAUAGCUCAAGGAAUAGAGCACAUGCUUAGCAUGCACGAGGUCCUGGGUUCAACCCCCAGUACCUCCA
rnacentral:tRNA from 1 species